rnacentral:tRNA from 1 species
GCCGCGUUGGUCAAGGGGUUAAGACGCUUCCCUUUCACGGAAGAGUCACGGUUCGAUUCCCGUACGUGGUA